rnacentral:rRNA from 1 species
GAUGAACGCUGGCGGCGUGCCUAAUACAUGCAAGUCGAGCGAACGGACGAGAAGCUUGCUUCUCUGAUGUUAGCGGCGGACGGGUGAGUAACACGUGGAUAACCUACCUAUAAGACUGGGAUAACUUCGGGAAACCGGAGCUAAUACCGGAUAAUAUUUUGAACCGCAUGGUUCAAAAGUGAAAGACGGUCUUGCUGUCACUUAUAGAUGGAUCCGCGCUGCAUUAGCUAGUUGGUAAGGUAACGGCUUACCAAGGCAACGAUGCAUAGCCGACCUGAGAGGGUGAUCGGCCACACUGGAACUGAGACACGGUCCAGACUCCUACGGGAGGCAGCAGUAGGGAAUCUUCCGCAAUGGGCGAAAGCCUGACGGAGCAACGCCGCGUGAGUGAUGAAGGUCUUCGGAUCGUAAAACUCUGUUAUUAGGGAAGAACAUACGUGUAAGUAACUGUGCACAUCUUGACGGUACCUAAUCAGAAAGCCACGGCUAACCACGUG